ACCAUCUCCAUUUGUGACAAUCCCAGCAGACCAGCAUAUGCUCUGCAGAUGUGAUACAUGGAGUUCAUCACUGUCUGCUCCUCCUGGCACAGCCAGAUCAUCAGGUUAUCUUCUACUUGGCUAUUUCCAUGAAAGUCGGCUCUCUCUGGGACGGCUUAUUUCAGCUUCAUCAGCUUUCCAGACCACAGCUGGGGGUUAACACACCACUUCCAUUGAGUGUCACCUUCUUGGAGCACUGCCUGGCUGAUUUCUCCCUGCAUGGAGCAUCACAUACUACCAGCACUCACCUUUAGCUCCUUCUGAUACCCACCUUCAAUAAAUAUUUAGAUUCUGGGAGAACUUUAUACUCU
rnacentral:lncRNA from 1 species